UACGAAGGGUGCAAACGUUGCUCGGAAUUAUCGGGCGUAAAGCGCACGUAGGCGGCUUUGCAAGUCCCAUGUGAAAUCCCACGGCUCAACCGUGGAAGUGCAUGGGAAACUGCAGAGCUUGAGUACUUAAGAGGAUCGCGGAAUUCCCGGUGUAGAGGUGAAAUUCGUAGAUAUCGGGAGGAACACCAGUGGCGAAGGCGGCGAUCUGGGAAGAUACUGACGCUGAGGUGCGAAAGCGUGGGGAGCAAACAGG
rnacentral:rRNA from 1 species